UACGUAUGGUGCAAGCGUUAUCCGGAUUUACUGGGUGUAAAGGGAGCGCAGGCGGCGCGUUAAGCCUGGUGUGAAAGCCCGCGGCCCAACCGCGGGACUGCAUUGGGGACUGGCGCGCUGGAGUGCCGGAGGGGUAGGCGGAAUUCCUAGUGUAGCGGUGAAAUGCGUAGAUAUUAGGAGGAACACCAGUGGCGAAGGCGGCCUACUGGACGGUGACUGACGCUGAGGCUCGAAAGCGUGGGGAGCAAACAGG
rnacentral:rRNA from 1 species